rnacentral:rRNA from 1 species
GACGAACGCUGGCGGCGUGCCUAAUACAUGCAAGUCGAACGCACUCUCGUUUAGAUUGAAGGAGCUUGCUCCUGAUUGAUAAGCAUUUGAGUGAGUGGCGGACGGGUGAGUAACACGUGGGUAACCUGCCCUAAAGUGGGGGAUAACAUUUGGAAACAGAUGCUAAUACCGCAUAAAACCUAGCACCGCAUGGUGCAGGGUUGAAAGAUGGUUUCGGCUAUCACUUUAGGAUGGACCCGCGGUGCAUUAGUUAGUUGGUGAGGUAAAGGCUCACCAAGACCGUGAUGCAUAGCCGACCUGAGAGGGUAAUCGGGCCACACUGGGACUGAGACACGGCCCAGACUCCUACGGGAGGCAGCAGUAGGGAAUCUUCCACAAUGGACGAAAGUCUGAUGGAGC